AGUGAACGCUGGCGGUAGGCCUAACACAUGCAAGUCGAACGGCAGCACAGGAGAGCUUGCUCUCUGGGUGGCGAGUGGCGGACGGGUGAGGAAUACAUCGGAAUCUACUUUUUCGUGGGGGAUAACGUAGGGAAACUUACGCUAAUACCGCAUACGAACUACGGGUGAAAGCAGGGGAUCUUCGGACCUUGCGCGAUUGAAUGAGCCGAUGUCGGAUUAGCUAGUUGGGGGGGUAAAGGCCCACCAAGGCGACGAUCCGUAGCUGGUCUGAGAGGAUGAUCAGCCACACUGGAACUGAGACACGGUCCAGACUCCUACGGGAGGCAGCAGUGGGGAAUAUUGGACAAUGGGCGCAAGCCUGAUCCAGCCAUACCGCGUGGGUGAAGAAGGCCUUCGGGUUGUAAAGCCCUUUUGUUGGGAAAGAAAUCCAGCUGGUUAAUACCCGGUUGGGAUGACGGUACCCAAAGAAUAAGCACCGGCUAACUUCGCGCCAGCCGCCGCGGUAA
rnacentral:rRNA from 1 species